GACGUAGGGCGCGAGCGUUGUCCGGAUUUAUUGGGCGUAAAGAGCUCGUAGGCGGCUUGUCGCGUCGUCCGUGAAAACCUGCGGCUCAACUGCAGGCUGGCGGUCGAUACGGGCAGGCUGGAGUUCGGCAGGGGAGAGUGGAAUUCCUGGUGUAGCGGUGAAAUGCGCAGAUAUCAGGAAGAACACCCGUGGCUAAGGCGGCUCUCUAGUACGGUACUGACGCUGAGACGCGAAAGCGUGGGGAGCGAACAGG
rnacentral:rRNA from 1 species